CAGCGGAGGACAUUACUGAGUUACCGCUCUAUAACCCUUUGUGAACAUACCUAACCGUUGCUUCGGCGGGCAGGGGAAGCCUCUCGCGGGCCUCCCCUCCCGGCGCCGGCCCCCACCACGGGGACGGGGCGCCCGCCGGAGGAAACCAAACUCUAUUUACACGACGUCUCUUCUGAGUGGCACAAGCAAAUAAUUAAAACUUUUAACAACGGAUCUCUUGGUUCUGGCAUCGAUGAAGAACGCAGCGAAAUGCGAUAAGUAAUGUGAAUUGCAGAAUUCAGUGAAUCAUCGAAUCUUUGAACGCACAUUGCGCUCGCCAGCAUUCUGGCGAGCAUGCCUGUUCGAGCGUCAUUUCAACCCUCAAGCACCGCUUGGUUUUGGGGCCCCACGGCACACGUGGGCCCUUAAAGGUAGUGGCGGACCCUCCCGGAGCCUCCUUUGCGUAGUAACUAACGUCUCGCACUGGGAUUCGGAGGGACUCUUGCCGUAAAACCCCCCCAUUUUUUACAGGUUGACCUCGGAUCAGGUAGGAAUACCCGCUGAACUUAAGCAUAUCAAAAGC
rnacentral:rRNA from 1 species